ACUGCAUUGCCUCAUACCUCUAUAAGUGACAUAAUAUUGCAUGUUACUUUGUCACCCUUGAUGGCAGUGUCAGAGGAUUGCCUGUGGCAUGCAGGCUGGGAGGAUGCUGUUCGUGUGCACUGCAGACAAGGUGUUGUGGAGGAUUCAGCUGUUCUGAGCUGUCACAGCUGGAACUACCAGAUACCAGAACAGCAAAGCAGCACAGAGAGGGCUGAGUGGUGAAAAUUGACAUUUGUAUAAAAAAAUAGAAGGCUUUGAUAGAAGUGUGGGUAUGAAAAUUAAAAUGUGAAAAAUAUGAAAAGAAACAAGCUACAGGAGUGGAAAUCAGAAGGAAAGAGAAAAUAAUGAGUAGAGCUGUUGGAAUGUUCUGGUGCACUAGUUCUCUUCAUCUUCUGCAUUCCCCCUCCUACCUGUGAAAUCCUUCACUGCCACUGAUUUAAUGUAUCUCUGCCAUGUCACUCACAUCUCAAGGGAGAACAGCUGUGAGCAGAAUGACUUGCCCAGUUCACCCCAGCCUCCAGACAACACGCUGACAUUUGGCAGUUUGACUGUGCCCUCUGCUGUUAACAGGA